UACGAAGGGUGCUAGCGUUGCUCGGAAUUACUGGGCGUAAAGCGCGCGUAGGCGGCUUUUCAAGUCAGAGGUGAAAUCCCUGGGCUCAACCCAGGAACUGCCUUUGAAACUGUAAAGCUAGAGUGUCGGAGGGGAUAGCGGAAUUCCUAAUGUAGAGGUGAAAUUCGUAGAUAUUAGGAGGAACACCGGUGGCGAAGGCGGCUAUCUGGACGACAACUGACGCUGAGGCGCGAAAGCACGGGGAUCAAACAGG
rnacentral:rRNA from 1 species